rnacentral:rRNA from 1 species
GCUCAAAUUUGAAAUCUGGUACCUUCGGUGCCCGAGUUGUAAUUUGGAGAGGGCAACUUUGGGGCCGUUCCUUGUCUAUGUUCCUUGGAACAGGACGUCAUAGAGGGUGAGAAUCCCGUGUGGCGAGGAGUGCGGUUCUUUGUAAAGUGCCUUCGAAGAGUCGAGUUGUUUGGGAAUGCAGCUCUAAGUGGGUGGUAAAUUCCAUCUAAAGCUAAAUAUUGGCGAGAGACCGAUAGCGAACAAGUACAGUGAUGGAAAGAUGAAAAGAACUUUGAAAAGAGAGUGAAAAAGUACGUGAAAUUGUUGAAAGGGAAGGGCAUUUGAUCAGACAUGGUGUUUUGUGCCCUCUGCUCCUUGUGGGUAGGGGAAUCUCGCAUUUCACUGGGCCAGCAUCAGUUUUGGUGGCAGGAUAAAUCCAUAGGAAUGUAGCUUGCCUCGGUAAGUAUUAUAGCCUGUGGGAAUACUGCCAGCUGGGACUGAGGACUGCGACGUAAGUCAAGGAUGCUGGCAUAAUGGUUAUAUGCCGCCCGUCUUGAACCACGGACCA